UAGGGAAUCUUCCACAAUGGACGCAAGCCUGAUGGAGCAACGCCGCGUGAGUGAAGAAGGGUUUCGGCUCGUAAAGCUCUGUUGUUAAAGAAGAACGUGGGUAAGAGUAACUGUUUACCCAGUGACGGUAUUUAACCAGAAAGCCACGGCUAACUACGUGGCAG
rnacentral:rRNA from 1 species